rnacentral:rRNA from 1 species
GGGUUGUGAGGUUAAGCGACUAAGCGUACACGGUGGAUGCCACGCAGUCAGAGGCGAUGAAGGACGUGCUAAUCUGCGAAAAGCGUCGGUAAGGUGAUAUGAACCGUUACAGCCGGCGAUGUCCGAAUGGGGAAACCCAGUGCAAUUCGUUGCACUAUCGUUAACUGAAUACAUAGGUUAACGAGGCGAACCGGGGGAACUGAAACAUCUAAGUACCCCGAGGAAAAGAAAUCAACCGAGAUUCCCCCAGUAGCGGCGAGCGAACGGGGAGCAGCCCAGAGUCUGAAUCAGCUUGUGUGUUAGUGGAACGGUCUGGAAAGUCCGACGGUACAGGGUGAUAGUCCCGUACACCAAAAUGCACAGGCUGUGAACUCGAAGAGUAGGGCGGGACACGUGGUAUCCUGUCUGAAUAUGGGGGGACCAUCCUCCAAGGCUAAAUACUCCUGACUGACCGAUAGUGAACCAGUACCGUGAGGGAAAGGCGAAAAGAACCCCGGCGAGGGAGUGAAAAAGAACCUGAAACCGUGUACGUACAAGCAGUGGGAGCACCUUCGGGUGUGACUGCGUACCUUUGUAUAAUGGGUCAGCGACUUAUAUUCUGUAGCAAGGUUAACCGUAUAGGGGAGCCGCAGGGAAACCGAGUCUUAACUGGGCGUUAAGUUGCAGGGUAUAGACCCGAAACCCGGUGAUCUAGCCAUGGGCAGGUUGAAGGUUGGGUAACACUAACUGGAGGACCGAACCGACUAAUGUUGAAAAAUUAGCGGAUGACUUGUGGCUGGGGGGUGAAAGGCCAAUCAAACCGGGAGAUAGCUGGUUCUCCCCGAAAGCUAUUUAGGUAGCGCCUCGUGAAUUCAUCUUCGGGGGUAGAGCACUGUUUCGGCUAGGGGGGUCAUCCCGACUUACCAACCCGAUGCAAACUACGAAUACCGAAGAAUGUUAUCACGGGAGACACACGGCGGGUGCUAACGUCCGUCGUGAAGAGGGAAACAACCCAGACCGCCAGCUAAGGUCCCAAAGUCAUGGUUAAGUGGGAAACGAUGUGGGAAGGCACAGACAGCCAGGAUGUUGGCUUAGAAGCAGCCAUCAUUUAAAGAAAGCGUAAUAGCUCACUGGUCGAGUCGGCCUGCGCGGAAGAUGUAACGGGGCUAAACCAUGCACCGAAGCUGCGGCAGCGACACUAUGUGUUGUUGGGUAGGGGAGCGUUCUGUAAGCCUGCGAAGGUGACCUGUGAGGGUUGCUGGAGGUAUCAGAAGUGCGAAUGCUGACAUAAGUAACGAUAAAGCGGGUGAAAAGCCCGCUCGCCGGAAGACCAAGGGUUCCUGUCCAACGUUAAUCGGGGCAGGGUGAGUCGACCCUAAGGCGAGGCCGAAAGGCGUAGUCGAUGGGAAACAGGUUAAUAUUCCUGUACUUGGUGUUACUGCGAAGGGGACGGAGAAGGCUAUGUUAGCCGGGCGACGGUUGUCCCGGUUUAAGCAUGUAGGCUGGUUAUCCGCAAAUCCGGAUAAUCAAGGCUGAGGUGUGAUGACGAGGCACUACGGUGCUGAAGUAACAAAUGCCCUGCUUCCGGAAAAGCCUCUAAGCAUCAGGUAACAUCAAAUCGUACCCCAAACCGACACAGGUGGUCAGGUAGAGAAUACCAAGGCGCUUGAGAGAACUCGGGUGAAGGAACUAGGCAAAAUGGUGCCGUAACUUCGGGAGAAGGCACGCUGGUGUGUAGGUGAAGUCCCUGCGGAUGGAGCUGAGACCAGUCGAAGAUACCAGCUGGCUGCAACUGUUUAUUAAAAACACAGCACUGUGCAAACACGAAAGUGGACGUAUACGGUGUGACGCCUGCCCGGUGCCGGAAGGUUAAUUGAUGGGGUUAUCCGUAAGGAGAAGCUCUUGAUCGAAGCCCCGGUAAACGGCGGCCGUAACUAUAACGGUCCUAAGGUAGCGAAAUUCCUUGUCGGGUAAGUUCCGACCUGCACGAAUGGCGUAAUGAUGGCCCAGGCUGUCUCCACCCGAGACUCAGUGAAAUUGAACUCGCUGUGAAGAUGCAGUGUACCCGCGGCAAGACGGAAAGACCCCGUGAACCUUUACUAUAGCUUGACACUGAACAUUGAGCCUUGAUGUGUAGGAUAGGUGGGAGGCUUUGAAGCGUGGACGCCAGUCUGCGUGGAGCCAACCUUGAAAUACCACCCUUUAAUGUUUGAUGUUCUAACGUUGGCCCCUUACCGGGGUUGCGGACAGUGUCUGGUGGGUAGUUUGACUGGGGCGGUCUCCUCCCAAAGCGUAACGGAGGAGCACGAAGGUUAGCUAAUCCCUGGUCGGACAUCAGGAGGUUAGUGCAAUGGCAUAAGCUAGCUUGACUGCGAGCGUGACGGCGCGAGCAGGUGCGAAAGCAGGUCAUAGUGAUCCGGUGGUUCUGAAUGGAAGGGCCAUCGCUCAACGGAUAAAAGGUACUCCGGGGAUAACAGGCUGAUACCGCCCAAGAGUUCAUAUCGACGGCGGUGUUUGGCACCUCGAUGUCGGCUCAUCACAUCCUGGGGCUGAAGUAGGUCCCAAGGGUAUGGCUGUUCGCCAUUUAAAGUGGUACGCGAGCUGGGUUUAGAACGUCGUGAGACAGUUCGGUCCCUAUCUGCCGUGGGCGCUGGAGAAUUGAGGGGGGCUGCUCCUAGUACGAGAGGACCGGAGUGGACGCAUCACUGGUGUUCGGGUUGUCAUGCCAAUGGCACUGCCCGGUAGCUAAAUGCGGAAGAGAUAAGUGCUGAAAGCAUCUAAGCACGAAACUUGCCCCGAGAUGAGUUCUCCCUGAGACUUUAAGUCUCCUGAAGGAACGUUAAAGACGAUGACGUUGAUAGGCCGGGUGUGUAAGCGCAGCGAUGCGUUGAGCUAACCGGUACUAAUGAACCGUGAGGCUUAACCUUACAACGCCGAAG